CCUACGGGGCGCAGCAGUGAGGUAUAUUGGUCAAUGGGCGCGAGUCUGAACCAGCCAAGUAGCGUGAAGGAUGACUGCCCUAUGGGUUGUAAACUUCUUUUAUAAGGGAAUAAAGUGAUCCACGUGUGGGUUUUUGUAUGUACCUUAUGAAUAAGGAUCGGCUAACUCCGUGCCAGCAGCCGCGGUAAUACGGAGGAUCCGAGCGUUAUCCGGAUUUAUUGGGGUUAAAGGGAGCGUAGAUGGGUUGUUAAGUCAGUUGUGAAAGUUUGCGGCUCAACCGUAAAAUUGCAGUUGAGACUGGCAGUCUUGAGUACAGUAGAGGUAGGCGGAAUUCGUGGUGUAGCGGUGAAAUGCUUAGAUAUCACGAAGAACUCCGAUUGCGAAGGCAGCUCACUGGACUGCAACUGACAUUGAGGCUCGAAAGUGUGGGUAUCAAACAGGAUUAGAUACCCGUGUAGUC
rnacentral:rRNA from 1 species